rnacentral:rRNA from 1 species
GAGUGAACCGGGAAGAGCUCAAAUUUGAAAUCUGGCCUUUGGGUCCGAGUUGUAAUCUAUAGAGGCGUUUUCCGCGCCGGACCGUGUCCAAGUCCCUUGGAAUAGGGUAUCAAAGAGGGUGACAAUCCCGUACUUGACACGACGACCGGUGCUAUGUGAUACGUCUUCGACGAGUCGAGUUGUUUGGGAAUGCAGCUCAAAAUGGGUGGUAAAUUCCAUCUAAAGCUAAAUAUUGGCGAGAGACCGAUAGCGAACAAGUACCGUGAGGGAAAGAUGAAAAGCACUUUGGAAAGAGAGUUAAACAGUACGUGAAAUUGUUAAAAGGGAAACGAUUGAAGUCAGUCGUGUCGGUCGGAUUCAGCCUGGUCUCCAGGUGUAUUUCCUUCCGACGGGUCAACAUCAGUUUGGAUCGGUGGAUAAAGACGGAGGGAAGGUGGCAUCCUCGGAUGUGUUAUAGCCCUCUGUUGCAUACGCUGGUCCGGACUGAGGCAUGCAGCUCGCCUUCAUGGCCGGGGUUCGCCCACGUUUCGAGCUUAGGAUGUUGACG